CAAUAGCGUAUAUUAAAGUUGUUGCAGUUAAAAAGCUCGUAGUUGGAUUUGUGGCGUACGGUGUGUUCCGGGCACUUGUUGUCUGAGUAACCUGCUGUUGCCAUCCUUGGGUGGAACCUGUGUGGCAUUAGGUUGUCGUGCAGGGGAUGCCCAUCAUUUACUGUGAAAAAAUUAGAGUGUUCAAAGCAGGCUUAUGCCGUUGAAUAUAUUAGCAUGGAAUAAUGAGAUAGGACUUUUUUGCUAUUUUGUUGGUUUGCGCAAGAAGGUAAUGAUUAAUAGGGACAGUUGGGGGUAUUCGUAUUCCAUUGUCAGAGGUGAAAUUCUUGGAUUUUUGGAAGACGAACUACCGCGAAAGCAUUUACCAAGGAUGUUUUCAUUAA
rnacentral:rRNA from 1 species